AACCAGCACCUCAAGUGGUCAGGAUGAUUAUUGGGCCUAAAGCAUCCGUAGCCGGUUCUGUAAGUUUUCGGUUAAAUCUAUGCGCUCAACGUAUAGGCUGUCGAAAAUACUGCAGAACUAGGGAGUGGGAGAGGUAGACGGUACUCGGUAGGAAGGGGUAAAAUCCUUUGAUCUAUUGAUGACCACCUGUGGCGAAGGCGGCUCCCUGGACUAGAACUGACGCUGAGGUACGAAAGCGUGGGUAGCAAACAGG
rnacentral:rRNA from 1 species